rnacentral:rRNA from 1 species
AACGAACGCUGGCGGCAUGCCUAACACAUGCAAGUCGAACGAAGCCUUCGGGAUCAGUCGCUCACGGGUGCGGAACGCGUGGGAAUCUGCCCCUUGCUUCGGAAUAACAGUUAGAAAUGACCGCUAAUACCGGAUUAACUCCUCGGACCAAAGAUUUAUAGGCAAAGGAUGAGCCCGCGUAGGAUUAGGUAGUUGGUGGGGUAAAGGCCUACCAAGCCGACGAUCCUUAGCUGGUCUGAGAGGAUGAUCAGCCACACUGGGACUGAGACACGGCCCAGACUCCUACGGGAGGCAGCAGUGGGGAAUAUUGGACAAUGGACGCAAGUCUGAUCCAGCAAUGCCGCGUGAGUGAUGAAGGCCUUAGGGUUGUAAAGCUCUUUUACCAGGGAUGAUAAUGACGGUACCUGGAGAAUAAGCUCCGGCUAACUCCGUG